rnacentral:rRNA from 1 species
UACGGAGGGAGCUAGCGUUGUUCGGAAUUACUGGGCGUAAAGCGCACGUAGGCGGCUAUUCAAGUCGGGGGUGAAAGCCCGGGGCUCAACCCCGGAACUGCCCUCGAAACUAGAUAGCUAGAAUCUUGGAGAGGCGAGUGGAAUUCCGAGUGUAGAGGUGAAAUUCGUAGAUAUUCGGAAGAACACCAGUGGCGAAGGCGGCUCACUGGACCGGCAUUGACGCUGAGGUGCGAAAGCGUGGGGAGCAAACAGG